GAACGCUGGCGGCGUGCCUAAUACAUGCAAGUAGAACGCUGAAGGAGGAGCUUGCUUCUCUGGAUGAGUUGCGAACGGGUGAGUAACGCGUAGGUAACCUGCCUGGUAGCGGGGGAUAACUAUUGGAAACGAUAGCUAAUACCGCAUAAGAGUAGAUGUCGCAUGACAUUUGCUUAAAGGGUGCAAUUGCAUCACUACCAGAUGGACCUGCGUUGUAUUAGCUAGUUGGUGAGGUAACGGCUCACCAAGGCAACGAUACAUAGCCGACCUGAGAGGGUGAUCGGCCACACUGGGACUGAGACACGGCCCAGACUCCUACGGGAGGCAGCAGUAGGGAAUCUUCGGCAAUGGACGGAAGUCUGACCGAGCAACGCCGCGUGAGUGAAGAAGGUUUUCGGAUCGUAAAGCUCUGUUGUAAGAGAAGAACGAGUGUGAGAGUGGAAAGUUCACACUGUGACGGUAUCUUACCAGAAAGGGACGGCUAACUACGUG
rnacentral:rRNA from 1 species